rnacentral:lncRNA from 1 species
CUAUCUAUCUAUCUAUCUAUCUAUCUAUCUAUCUAUCAUCUAUCUAUCUAUCUAUCUAUCUAUCUAUCUAUCUAUCUAUCUAUCUAUCUAUCUAUCUAUCUAUCUAUCUAUCUAUCUAUCUAUCUAUCUAUCUAUCUAUCUAUCUAUCUAUCUAUCUAUCUAUCUAUCUAUCUAUCUAUCUAUCUAUCUAUCUAUCUAUCUAUCUAUCUAUCUAUCUUCUUGUCUUUUAAACUCUCUCUUGGUAUAUCUCUCUAUGGUUUUUGACAUUUCCAACCUCAUCUCAUUGUUUGACGCGUGUGUGUAUGCGUGUGUGUGUGUGUGUGUGUGUGUGUGUCAGACCUGAAUUGCUGCUAUGAAGGGAGUGGUUGGUAAAAGCAGCAGUCUUCUCUGUUAUUGGUUCAAUUCUUUCCUUGUUUUUGAAGUUCUUCUUCUGUAGUUUUGGUUCAGUUCACUAUCUAGAUUUAAGGAACUAGUUUUUGUUUGUUGAUUUGUUAUGGAGACUUGACGUUUCCUUUAUUAGGAAAUUCCUUUAUUUUUUUUCCCAAUGGUGAAUACGCUGUGAAUAAGUUGAUAAGGUGUGAUCAUGACUGUCUCGUUUAGAAACAGUCCUCUGAUAUGAAGAGGGUGCCAUUUGUGCCGCAGCCCCGAGGUUGGUAUGAGAGCUUCUCAGAUGGUUCUUAGUUUGAUUUAUCAAUGUGAUUAUUGAUUACUUAUCGGCCCUUGAGAGUGUGGGACCAGGUGUUAGUGGUUGUGUGUGUUUGUGUGUGAAUUUGAUGACAUGAGCAGAGAAAAAUGAACUUUAUUUCACAACAACCACGUUGCACUCCUGACUGUCAGGGGGACGCACCUCCACGCUUUGGGCACAAGGACACAGGAAAUGGUAUGUUUAGCCAAUGGGAAGGCCCAUCUAGGCAGAAUACAGUAUUUGUAGCCAAUCAGUCAGCCCCAUGUAGGCUGGGUUCUGUAUGUCUAGCCAAUGGGAAAGGCCCAUGUAGAAAGUAUAUGAGGGCAGGUACGGGACAGAGACACACCUGACUAGAGGUGUGGUCAAGCAGGUUGAAAGUAUGUAUACACGGCAUCAUUCACAGCUCAGAGCAUUACUGUAUGUAUUUACCACAGUCAUUAGCUACUGUAUGUAUUUACCACAGUCAUUAGCUACUGUAUGUAUUUACCACGUCAUGUAUUUACUUCACUGAUAU